CCCAAUCAUUACACACGCACCCUUUGCCAACAUGAAGGCGGAUAGGGGAGCCCCUGCCAUUGAAAUACAAGAAUACAACUUGUGAUUUCAAGAGGUAGCGAAUCCCAUUGCCUACGAAAAUAGAUGCGACACCGAAUUAAUAUUUUGGCCCUGCAGAAUGUCCAAGAUAAGGCGGAGGGUAACAGUGGAGAAUUCUAAAACCAUAUCUGACAACAGCAGUAGCCAGACCACCACCACCACCCCGUCUCGCCGGCCCAGCGUGUUUGAAAGACUUGGCCCCAGCACUGGUAGUAAUGCUGUCGAGACUAAUUGUAGAAAUUGGUUGAAGACUGGGAAUUGCAGUUACGGCAAUACUUGUCGCUACACACAUGGAACUCAGCCACGAGGCAAAGGAUUUAGUGGAUCUUUUAGCAGGUCAGCGGAGAGACCAACUGGCGAUCUGCGAGAGAGGAUGAAGAAUAAGAGGCAGGAUGUUGAAUCAGAUGCUACAAAGAGAGACCCAGAGGAGCCUACGUCCCCACAGCCAGAGUGACGAGACUCGUCCCGAGGCCGCCACAGGGAGAAGGAAGAUAUAAAAAUCACUAAAGAGAGAAGCCCUGCCAGCGAAGAAGAGACCACCGAGUGGGAAGCCAACCGCGAAGACUCGGAUAACGGCGACUACGACUACGAAUUAUCCCUCGAGAUGAAGAGACAGAAGAUUCAGCGUGAGCUCAUGAAGUUGGAGCAGGAGAAUAUGGAGAAAAGAGAGGAGAUUGUUAUCAAGAAAGAGGAGCCGACCACCAAAACUAGGACCACUAUCAUAUCCAAGACAUCCCCGGAGCGUUCCAGCUCGAAAGGUUCCCCUCCUCCAGGAAGUCCAGUGGAUCUCCCAAACACACUAAAGGACCUAAAGCUUCCGGUUCUAGGAAGAAGGAGAAGAAGACCUCUGUGUCGUCCUCUGCAUCCGCCACGGCCAGAUCUUCCAAGGGGGGCCACGGGAAGAAGAAAGGUCCCCGCACCCCCAGCCCCCCUCCUCCGGUGCUUCCUCUGGUGAACCCUGUCGUGGCAGCCGGGGGAAGAAACACAAGGGAAACACAAGAACAAGGAGAAGUGUGAGGAGAAGCCGCCCAAGGAGGGAAAGGAGAGAGGAAGAGAUGUGGAGAAACACAAGGAGAAGAAGGAGAAACGCAGAGACCGUUCAGACAGCUCCCACAAGGCCAAGCGGUCAGUGAUGUCUGAGGAACGUUCCGGCAGCGUGUCCUCUCCUUCCAGAGACCGAGAGGCGUCCCCGUCAGCCAGGAAGAACAAGUCCAACUCCCCAAAAGUAGCCUCCCAGAAGACCCUUGCGCCUGCCUCCCCACCUCACAGGUCUCCCCCUCCCCGCCACAAGCGCACCCCCACCCCGCCCCGCCAUCACUCCCCCUCCUCCCACUCUGGCUCCUCAGCCCAGAGACACUCUCCAUCCCCUCGCCGGCGCCGCUCGGCAUCCCCCUCCUACAACCGCGAGCCCCCAGCCGCCUCCUCACCUCCUGGCCAGAGGUGUUCCUCCCGCUCCCCUGCAGCCUCCCGGGACACCUCCUCUCCUCAGAGGAGGACUAGCCCCGGAGGACGAAACCACUCUCGGGGCGUGAGAGAGGACGAGAGACCUGUGUUUCUGUCUCAUCCAUGCAGAGAGCCGCGAGAGAAAGACGGUACCCGUGACGACAGGGACUACGAGGUGGCAGAGACGAGCUCUUCUCGUGAUGCCGCCCGUGAGGACCGGGAAACAAAAGAGGGGCGAGAGCGCCGGGGUGAAGGGCGCAGCGACAGACGAGGAGACUCCACCAGUACCACCAGGGAUAGAGACCGGGACACCAAGGACUCGACCCGGGAAUCCAGAACCACAGAGACCACGUCAACACGCUCCGGACGAGACCCUCUGGAGUACAGGGACCGAGAACGGGAGCGGGAGCGAGAAAAGGAGAAAGAGAGGGAGCGGGAGAGAGGAGAGAGGGAGAAGACGGACAGGAAGGAGGAGGCUGUCCCGGAGGAGGGGAGGGGCUAUGGGAGGGGCCACGGGCGAGAGGAAGGAGGGAGGACUGAAGGGAGGGGGGAGACGAGGACAGAGAGUAGAGCUGAGAGACCUGGCAGGGGUAGGGGCCGCGAGGCUGACGCAUCUGACAAAGGCUCCACCCGGAAUGCCCGAGGCUCCCAACUGGAGAGUGGUGGUCAUGACGGCUGGGAGUCACGUAGCGGCGGAGGCUUCCGUGAGAAGAGUGCGGAGAGGAGCACCGACCGUGGGGCGGAGAGAGGAGGAGCGGAGCGUGACCGUUAUGACGGAGACAGGAGAGGAGGGGAGCAGGCGACUGGGAGAGACUCAUCCUACGACCGUAGAGGUGGUCACACCGACCGUGGUGACCGCAGAGAGAACAGGGAGAGAGACCAAAGAGCUUCCUCUCCUGGUCGGCACCCAGCCAGAGGAGAAGAGCCAGACAGGGAGGAGACCAGAGGGAGGGAUGAACGCAGAGGAGAGGAAAAGGGAGGGGACAGGCGAGAGGACAGGGCCCGAGAGAGGGAGCGAGAGAGGGAACGGGAAAGAGAGAAGGAGAGAGAAAGAGAGAAGGAGAAGGAGAGGGAGGCAGAGCGGGAGAGGGUUCGGGAGAGGGAGAGAGAACGAGAGCGAGAGAGGGAAAAGGAAAGGGAGAGGGAAAAGGAGAAAGAGAGGGAAAAGGAGCGAGAGAGGGAACGGGAGAGGGAAGAGAGGGAGCGGGAGAGGGAGGAGCGAGAUAGGGAGAGGAAGGAGAGAGAGCGGGAGAGGGAACGAGAGCGGGAGAGGGAGCGAGAGCAAAGAGAGAGGGAGAGGCAGCGGGAAUGGGAGGAGCGUGAGAAAGGAAGGGAUGAGCGACGGGAACGGACUAGGGAUGAACCAAGGGAUGACCGCUCUGUCCGAGACUCGCAUGAAGACCGCAAGACCAGCCGGAAGAGGCACAGGGUAGAGACCACACCCAGCCCGACUCGCCCCUCUCCCAAGCGAGCAAGGGACGCCACCCCAGGAGACGGCGAGGAAUACAACAGCCCUGAGGAGAAAAGUGUUGAGAAACACCGGCUGUUGAGUCAGGUGGUACUCCCGCCCCAGGACCCCCUCCUGCGUUCCCCCCAGCACCUCUGUAGCGGAGGACGCCAAGCCCAGCCGGUGGAAGGACGAGGAGCGCCGUGGAGGCGGGGACAAGAGGGAGGGGAGGAGCCGCCGGAACGAGGAGGCCGACGCCCGCGGAGACAGAGGAGGAGCAGGCAGAGGAGGGGAGAGACGGGGGGAGCACCCCUCAGAUAGCAGUACCCCUGUCUCGGCCUCCGGCUCGGACUCUAGGAGGGGUAAAGAGAGGGACGGUCGGGAGCCCACCCCUCCCCCGCCUCCCGUGGCCCUGGUCACUGAGGACAGAGAUGCUCCGGUCCUGUCAGGUCAUGAGGAGGGCAAGAAGAAGACUAAGUCCCAGAAGAAAGGCCUGAAGAAGGGGAGGAAGGAGGAGGCUGUGGCAGGAGGUGUUUCAGGAGCUCCAGAGAGGUUCACCAACCCAGAGCCCCCCUCCUCCAUGGCCCUCUUGGACGCCCCCCCGCCCCCUCUCCUUUCCCCCCGCAAAGCGCCUAAGAAGAAGGCGCUGGACAAGAAGAGGAAACGAUCCCGUGGCGCUGAGUCGGACGCGUCUGAGGAGGAUCCAGGCUCCUCCCAUCUUCCCCCCGGCAAGAGGAACAAGAGGGGUCCCCGGACGCCCCCGCCCGCGCCAAAGGAGGCUCUGCUAUCCCAGAGGGCCAUGCCACAUUCAGUUGCAGAGCCCUUGCCACAGCCCGUCAAAAUGGACGCCAACUUCAGCGACUGGUCUGACGAGGAUGUGCUGGAGCGCGGUGGUGGAUCGGCGCCCGUUAAGGCACCCCCCACAGUCCCCACUGAGAGGACUCCGACUGAAGCUCUUCCCAGGAGAGGAGGUCCGAGGGGGGGCAAGGAGAGGUUGGAGAGGCCUGUUCCCCUGCCCAUCGCCCCUCUGCUGUCCCAGGACCCUCCCAUGUUACUCCAGACCCUGCCUCCCCAGCCCCUCAUGUCCCAGCCCCUGCUGAGGAAGCCUCCUCCGGAGCAGAAGAGGAGCAGCAGUAUGGGAAGCAACCAGAGCAGGGCCUCAUCCAGACGUCUCCGUUCUCCCUCCAACGAGUCAGCCCACAGAGAGGACCCUCAGCAGGGCCAAGGACCAGGCCGACCCAGGAGAGGACACCAGCUCCAGGGGGCCAACUCCCGAGACCGGGAACGAGAAAGGGAGCGAGAAAGGGAACGAGAAAGGGAGCGAGACAGGGAAAGAGAGAGGGAGCGUGGUGAGAGAGAGAGGGGACCUGUGCUCACAGAGCCUCCAGUGGUGAGGGGAGAGGAGCGGAAGUCACGCAUCGACCAGCUGAGGAGAGGAGAGCCCAGUCGCAGCACCUCCUCAGACCGGCAGGACUCUCGCAGCCACAGCUCCAGACGUAGCUCUCCUGAGUCAGAGCGGCAGGUGCAGUCGCGGGCCGGGUCCUACGACGGCCGAGAGCGUGAGAGGGAGAGAGAGAGGGAGCGGGAACAGUUUGAGAGGGAGCGUGAGCGCAAGGACCUCCGACAGCAACAGGGGCCUCCGGGGCCACUACCUCCUCUCCAGCAGCAGGGGCAGCAGAGAGACUGGGAGCCCGAGGGGCCACGGGAGUGGGGCGGGAGGGGCCGUGAACCCCUCCUCAUGCGUGGAGGCAACAGAGAGCAAAUGAGAGAGCGUGAUCUCCGUGACAUGCGGGGUGAGAGAGAGCGGCUUCUGCCCGAGGGUCUCCUGCAGCAGCACGAACGAGAGCGGGAAAGGGAGCGUGGAGGCAACAGGGGCAUUGGCCGCGGUGGCGACCAUGGCAACGACCGGGAGCGGGAGAGGAUGCUGCUGAUGGACCUGCCGCCACAUGGGGACCCCAAGAACAGGAUGGACAUGAGGGGAGACAGACCAGAUAUGAGGGGGGACAGACCAGAUAUGAGGGGGGACAGACCAGAUAUGAGGGGAGACAGACCAGAUAUGAGGGGAGACAGACCAGAUUUAAGAGGGGACAUGCGAGGAGAUAUGAGACCUGAUAUGAGGGGAGACAUUCGAGGGGAUAUGAGAGGAGACAUUCGAGGAGAUAUGAGACCUGAUAUGAGGGGAGACAUGAGACCUGAUAUGAGGGGAGACAUUCGAGGGGACAUGAGACCUGAUAUGAGGGGAGACAUGAGACCUGAUAUGAGGGGAGACAUUCGAGGGGACAUGAGACCUGAUAUGAGGGGAGACAUGAGACCUGAUAUUAGGGGAGAUAUUCGAGGGGAUAUGAGACCCGAUAUGAGGGGAGACAUUCGAGGGGACAUGAGACUUGAUAUUAGGGGAGACAUGAGACCUGAUAUUAGGGGAGACAUUCGAGGGGACAUGAGACCUGAUAUUAGGGGAGACAUUCGAGGGGACAUGAGACCUGAUAUUAGGGGAGACAUGAGACCUGAUAUUAGGGGAGACAUUCGAGGGGACAUGAGACCUGAUAUUAGGGGAGACAUGAGAGGGGGGCCAGAUAUAAGACCGGACAUAAGGCCAGAUCACAUGAGACCAGAUAUCAGGGGGCCGGACAGGGCUGAGUUCUCUCUCUUGCUCCCCCACGAAGCCUUGGGACACGGCGGCAUGGACCAGGACAAAGCAGGCAACAGCCAUCACCCUGUGGGAGGACAGAUACAGGAAGCAGAGAAACAGGACAGCGUUGACGACGAAGAUGACGCGAAGGCGGAUGACGCUGUGUCGGUGGUGUCUGGCGGGGAGGAGUACGAGCCAAUCAGUGAUGACGAGUUAGAUGAGAUCUUGGCGGACAGCGCCCAGAAGAGAGAGGAUGGGCAGGAAGAAGAGAAGACGCCAGGUACAAUAUUGAGAACAGGCUCUCUGUCCAUUCCUCCAGAUGCUGACAAGCUGUUUGAGCACGACCUGGGUGCUCUGAACAAGGCAGCUCUGAACAGGAAGAUAGAGAGGGCAGGUCUGCUGAGGAACCUGGGCCCCUGCUGUAAGGCCCUCUGUGCCCGCAGGGACAUGGCCAUCAGACGGCAGCUCCUCAAGAACGAAAAGGGCCUGGCCAAGCAGAUGUAUCCCAGUGUUCCUGUGGUGGACAGUGAGCUCUUCCAACUCAGCAUGCGUCUCUUCAAGAAGACUGUAGCCGCCGCCAGAAGCAACCAGCCCCCGUUGGGGCCACCAGCAGGCCCAGAGAAGGCCGACAAAGGGCCACCGGGGCUGGUACCGGCAGCUUCACCGGUAGCCAAGCCCAGUACACCACAGCCCCCCGAGAUGUGUGUCUCCUGAGAGCGUGUGGGGAUUAUGGGUAAAAACAAACGCUGCAUGAUGAAACUGACCUGUGAUCAGAAAUUGAAUCAGCUCUGACUACUAAGCCUGCUCUGAGUCCCUGCCCCCUACUCUAAACCCCACCCCCUAAUGCUAAAACCCGCCCCCCUGCUAUAGCUUUUUUAAUCACAAGGAAAAAUCUAACAAAACGCUGAAACUCUUGUCAGUCAGCAGUGCUGUCAUUAUGGAAGACUGAUCUGAUCCGCAAGUACUGUACUGCUUCUACCAUAGAGACUAUUGGAGAUACUAGCCUAUGGAGGGAUUGAUAGAGGCCUUGUACAAUGUACUGUACCUUGAACUAGAAAUGACAAUGCUACAGGAAAGACGUGCAUUUUCCCGAAUAACAGUUGUUGUUUUUGUGCGAUUGGAUAUUUGUUGUCGGAGGGUGAUAAGUCUCCCUUUCGUAAUGGCGUUGAUUUAUGUUUUUUGUUUCUUUUGUUGUGCAUUGGUUUUUAAGACUGCAUUAAAGUGGUUAGUUGUUCAUUUG